CUGGUUACAGAGCCGUAAACAU
rnacentral:piRNA from 1 species